CUAGUUGUAUUAAUUAUGUCUUUAGUUAAAUGCAGCAUGACAUGUCGAAUAAAGUUCUAGGUAGAGUUAUGAUAAUGACAUUUUCUACCUAUGUGUCUUGACCAAAUCACGUGCCAGCAGUCGCGGAAAUACGUGGAAGACUAGUGUUAUUCAUCUUUAAUAGGUUUAAAGGGUACUUAGACGGUAAAUUAAGCCCAGAUAAAAAUAAAGGGUACUAAUUAUACUAGAGUUUAAAUGAGAGGGGGGGUGUAGUAGUGGUGUAGAGAUGAAAUUCUGUCAUACCAAGAUGACAGGCAACGGCGCAAGCAACCUUUUAUGUGUAGACUGACGUUAAAGGACGAAGGCUUUGUAUCACCAACAGGAUUAGGUACCCAAGCAGUCUUAGCAGACAAUUCUGAAUGCCAUAGAUAAGAAAAGAUUCUUUUCUCUCUAUCUCUAUUAAUAAAAAGAGAUAGAUGUUAUUUUGUCUAUAAAUGAAAGUGUAAGCAUUCCACCUCAAGAGUAAUGUGGCAACGCAUAAACUGAAAUCAUUAGACCGUUUCUGAAACCAGUAGUGAAGUAUGUUGUUUAAUUUGAUGGUCCGCACAAAACCUCACCACAAUUUGUAUAUUAUUAUCUUAAUACAGGAGUUGCACGGCUGUCUUCAGUUAAUGUCGUGAGAUUUUGGUUAGUUCCAUUAAAUUAACGUAAACCCUUACUUUAUUUAUGUUAU
rnacentral:rRNA from 1 species